CACACUGAUUGCAUUUUGUAUUAUAAAAUAUAUAUGUUUAGUGUUACAAAUUCAAUCAGGUCUUUGAGAAAACACCUGGAUCAUUGUACACAACGUUACCGUGAAUAUGCUGAACUAACCUUCACAUAAUUGUAACUUCUACUACACUUUAUAGGAUGCAUGACGUGUGUGAGAUUUUCUAAACCUCAUAUUGCCUGAGAUUUUCAUUUUGUCUACGUAGACCUUCCAGGCUUUAGCAACGUGUUGUAUUUCUACAUGGUAAUUUGAUGAACAAGAGCAACACUUAAUACUCACGCUACAAAAUAUACCUGACCAAUAUAUUCGAUUUCAAAAAAAUAAUAGUAAUCAAAGGAAAAAUUAACAUUCCAACGUCAGCCGCGAUACGGGACCUCCGUUUUGAAGGUCAUAUCCAAAAUCUUGACCCGUGACUUCCAAAUGCCGAGCGUUUAGCGAAGGAGCAAUCACUACCCAUGUUUGACGCGAUCAUGACACGAGAGGGGCUUGAACACACGACCUCUAUAGUUAUGUACAAUGCGCGUAUGAAUCUAGAAAAAUAAUAAAAAUUAAUCUCUUUUUUGAAAAUACCGGAGGUUAUGUACCGCGCUUCAUGAAGUAAGCCGGGGUGAGGCCUCGCAAUUCAUAUACCCUGAUGUAUUUUCAAAAAUGAAAUUCAUUUCUUGAAAAUCACGCAUUUGAUGACUGCUAUUUUGUAUGUGUACUGAGUCAGAUUAUCGUAGACUUAUUCGCAAUGUGUCUAUCCUGUUUUGUGCUUUUGUAUUUAACUUGGCCCCACCUACAUAAAAUAUUAACAAAUUAUUGGUAAGGUUUUGUAAUUGGGUGUUAUUACAGACAAAUGUCAUUUUAUUAUCAAAAAAACGUCAUUUUGAGUUUUAUACGAGAUGAAGACACAGUGAGCGGCUUCAUGAACAAGAUUUGAUAAAAAGUUUAUCUACUUUUAUGUCUAUACAUGUAUAACAAUAGCUAGCCUUCUAUAGAUCUAUAGAUUUAUAUCCAUGCACUUUUCCAUAAAAAUUUCUAACAUCCGAGGGAUUAAUAUCUUGAGUUCUUUAACAGAUUUACAGGAUUUUCCCAACAAUAACAUCAGAAUGAUAGGCAUACUCUUUAUGAAAUUAAAGGAACUUGUUUAUAAAUUACAAUGUCAUUUUAGCAGGUCAAUUACGGCCCUUCCUGUAAAUAUUCCUAGUAAAAUUAAUAUAUUUCGUAAUUUUAAAGUCAGCAUGCUUACUUUAGUGAGCUAUCAAAUUUUACAAAUGGAUCGGGUUUUUUUGUUGGUUUUUUUGUUGUUGCUUUUUUGUUUGUUUGUUUGUUUGUUUGUUUGGUUCUUUUUAUAAAUAAAAACUCGGACAGAUUAGAAAUAUUCAAAUAGCACGGAAUGUUACAUUUAAUGAGAUGAACGUAUUUGGACAUCAUCUGAUUGCGUGUGAGGCAGUGAUCCGCGAUACACGUAUAACAUUGCCACGAUCCUAAAUGAAAGCAGAUAUCCUUCCACUGAUGGAAAAACAACAGCUGUUGAAUUAAACCGUAUGUAUAUAUAUACUAUUUUCGACUCCCAACUAAUCUUUCAGAUAGAUCCUUUUACUACAGAACCGAGGGUAUUUGCUAUGGAUAAAAUUAUUCUAUUGGUUUUUGCUCUGGUAAUGACUAUAGGUCGUGUUUUCUGUGAAGAGGGCGAUUUGGAAGCAAGAAAUAUAAAUCUACAAAAUGAGAUUGAGAAGUGCCAGCUAUGUUGUUCAAACGACCCCAGAGAACACCGUGUGAAAAACUCUGACCCUUUGAAAUGUGAGGAAAACUUUCAGAGUAUCUCCGAGUUCUGUCAAAUGUUGGAAAGAAAGAAGCAACUAAGAAGAAACGCGGAUUCAAAUAUCAAUAAGGAUUGCAAUUUGAAAUGUCAUACGGAGUAUCGAAAAUUUUGUGUUCGUAGGGGACAGUGCAUUAUCAAAAGCCACAAGGAGUGUAAACCAGACUGUUCCACCAUGAAACCCAAGAAAAAAUGUGAAACAGAAUGUCGAAAGGCUUUCAAAAAGGUCUGCAAAAGUGAUGGAAAAUGUAGAAAUGAAACGAUAAUGGACUGCAAAGAAAAAUGUUAGAACUGACAUCGAUAUCUGCCAGAUCUAAGGAACCUGUGUGUUGUUUGUAGAUCCAAUAAAUAAAUAAAAUACAAAAAUACAAUAAAAA